rnacentral:siRNA from 1 species
UCACUUAUGCCACUUUUUUGAAAA